UGCCAUCUGCCUCUGCCUUGAA
rnacentral:siRNA from 1 species